CCUACGGGGGGCUGCAGUGGGGAAUAUUGGACAAUGGGGGGGAACCCUGAUCCAGCCAUGCCGCGUGUGUGAAGAAGGCCCUCGGGUUGUAAAGCACUUUCAGUGAGGAAGAACGCCUGGUGGUUAAUACCCAUCAGGAAAGACAUCACUCACAGAAGAAGCACCGGCUAACUCCGUGCCAGCAGCCGCGGUAAUACGGAGGGUGCGAGCGUUAAUCGGAAUUACUGGGCGUAAAGCGCGCGUAGGUGGCUUGAUAAGCCGGUUGUGAAAGCCCCGGGCUCAACCUGGGAACGGCAUCCGGAACUGUCAAGCUAGAGUGCAGGAGAGGAAGGUAGAAUUCCCGGUGUAGCGGUGAAAUGCGUAGAGAUCGGGAGGAAUACCAGUGGCGAAGGCGGCCUUCUGGACUGACACUGACACUGAGGUGCGAAAGCGUGGGUAGCAAACAGGAUUAGAUACCCUAGUAGUC
rnacentral:rRNA from 1 species